CCUACGGGUGGCAGCAGUGGGGAAUAUUGGACAAUGGGCGAAAGCCUGAUCCAGCCAUGCCGCGUGUGUGAAGAAGGCCUUCGGGUUGUAAAGCACUUUCAGUGGGGAAGAAAGCCUUGGGGCUAAUACCCUCGAGGAAGGACAUCACCCACAGAAGAAGCACCGGCUAACUCCGUGCCAGCAGCCGCGGUAAUACGGAGGGUGCGAGCGUUAAUCGGAAUUACUGGGCGUAAAGCGCGCGUAGGCGGUCUGAUAAGCCGGUUGUGAAAGCCCCGGGCUCAACCUGGGAACGGCAUCCGGAACUGUCAGGCUAGAGUGCAGGAGAGGAAGGUAGAAUUCCCGGUGUAGCAGUGAAAUGCGUAGAGAUUGGGAGGAAUACCAGUGGCGAAGGCGGCCUUCUGGACUGACACUGACGCUGAGGUGCGAAAGCGUGGGUAGCAAACAGGAUUAGAUACCCGAGUAGUC
rnacentral:rRNA from 1 species